UAGCAUAGCUCAGUCGGUAGAGCACAAGAAUCUUAAUCUCAGGGUCAUAGGUUUGAGCCCCGCAUUGGGCAAAA
rnacentral:tRNA from 1 species